GGUCGGACCCUUCCCUGGACCCUGCGCAAGCGGGAGCUACAUGCACCAGGUUGCCCUUUAUUACAGACUAUUGUACCUAAAAGCAUCAACAAAUUCUCCCAAUUCUGCAUUUGGCGAAAACUGAUAAGAAUUGGGAGCAGCGAGGAGUACCUGGCGAGGACCGGGCGGGGGAGCAGCAAGGAUCAGGCUGGUCAGUGCGGUUGAGAGGACCAGGUUGGUGCAGCGAGGACUAGAUUGGGAGGAGCGGUGGGGCGGCUAGGCUGGGGCAGCGGCGAUCAAAUUGGGAGCGGUGGCCACCAGACUGGGCGGAGGAGGAGGAGGAGGAGGAGCAGGCGGCGGAGGAGGAGGAGGUAGAGGGCGGAGGAGGAGGUGGCCGGACUAGCAGCUGGAGGAGGUGGAGGGCGCAGGUGGCCUGGCGGAGGAAGACUACGAGGAGGAGCCUGGCGGAGGAAGACGAUGACUCGUUUUCAAAUCAGGGGUAUUUUUGUACAUUUGCUCGUUUCCACCUGGUCUGAAAAAUCCCCCAACGACAACUAUUUCGGAACAGAGGGAGUAGUAGGCUAGAAAAGGCCUCAUUCAAUCCGCUUUUCACGAACCGAACUCUUUCUAACACCGUACCCAUCAAGGUACGAUGUUCCUCUAAGACGGAGGCAUGUUACAAAAUGUCCAUCAAUGCAUCCGGCAUUCCUUGGACAUCUGAUAAUCUGGGACCUUUGUUGUUC